rnacentral:rRNA from 1 species
ANCUUAAAACCCNGGGGACUUGACGGUGUCCCACCCACCNAAGAGGAGCCUGUUCUAUAAUCNACACCCCCCGCUUUACCUCACCAUUUUUUGCCUCUCANUCUGUAUACCUCCGUCGCAAGCUUACCAUNUNAACGCAUAUAGUAAGCCUAAUGGCCCANACACCAACACUUCNGGUCAAGGUGCAACUUAUAAAAUGGAAANUAAUGGGCUACAAUUUCUAAUCUAAAACAAACAAAAAACUGCAUGAAACACANUUUGAAGGCGGAUUUAGUAUUAAAAAAAAAACANCUUNUUCUUUUUAACUAGGCACUGGGACUUNUACACACCGCCCNUC